rnacentral:rRNA from 1 species
GACGAACGCUGGCGGCGUGCUUAACACAUGCAAGUCGAACGGAAAGGCCCUGCUUGCAGGGUACUCGAGUGGCGAACGGGUGAGUAACACGUGGGUGAUCUGCCCUGCACUUCGGGAUAAGCCUGGGAAACUGGGUCUAAUACCGGAUAGGAGCCAUUUUUAGUGUGAUGGUUGGAAAGUUUUUUCGGUGUAGGAUGAGCUCGCGGCCUAUCAGCUUGUUGGUGGGGUAAUGGCCUACCAAGGCGGCGACGGGUAGCCGGCCUGAGAGGGUGGACGGCCACAUUGGGACUGAGAUACGGCCCAGACUCCUACGGGAGGCAGCAGUGGGGAAUAUUGCACAAUGGGCGCAAGCCUGAUGCAGCGACGCCGCGUGGGGGAUGACGGCCUUCGGGUUGUGAACUCCUUUCGCUAGGGACGAAGCUUUUUGUGACGGUACCUAGAUAAGAAGCACCGGCUAACUACGUG